rnacentral:rRNA from 1 species
UACGUAGGGGCCGAGCGUUGUCCGGAGUUAUUGGGCGUAAAGCGCGCGCAGGCGGCCUCGCGCGCCCGACGUGAAAGCCCCCGGCUUAACCGGGGAGGGUCGUUGGGGACGGCGGGGCUUGAGGGCGGGAGAGGGCGGUGGAAUUCCCGGUGUAGUGGUGAAAUGCGUAGAGAUCGGGAGGAACACCUGUGGCGAAGGCGGCCGUCUGGGCCGACCCUGACGCUGAGGCGCGAAGGCGUGGGGAGCGAGCGGG